GUGGCUGUGCAGGGAGUUCAGCUCUUCUUGGGAACAACAGCAACGGCAUGCAGAUUCAUCCUUCUAGCAUCUGUUCCCUGCCAGCCAGGGAAAUGGGGGAGAGGAUCUGGGCAGGGACCAGAUACCGGAAGCUGUCCCUGACCAACCUGGGCUAUCAAAACUGCCUCUCCCCACAGCUCCCAGCUUGGGUGGUCUGAUACUUGAUUCUAAGACAGCACUUUGUUUUUUCCAUGAUGAAUGGGAGGGGGAGGGGGAGGAGGAGAGAGGGAGCUUGUCCUGGAAUUGAAUAAAUACGGUACUUGACUAUUAGGAUAGGCAACCUGAAUUGUGUCCUCUUACAUGCAGAAAGUUAAUUUUUAUUACAUAAUUGCAAACUACUUUCUCCACAGGGCCCUGAUUUGAUUCAGUGCAUCAGAUGGGUGGUGCUUAUGGAAAAAAAUCAAAGGUGCGUCAGGAAAGAUACCAUCAUUUCUAGACUUCUUCCUCAUUACUGAAGGAAUUGGAAGGUGAGUGGUGAAUGAAACAGGUUCUUGAUUGCAAAGAUCACUUCUCACUUCUGGGUUGGAAGGUGUCAUCCUCAUUCUACAAACCACUUGCUGUAGGUCAGGAUACAAAGUGAAGAAAAGCCUAUUCAAAGAAAAAAUGAAGUUUACUCUUGAUCCAGAUGUUGUAACAGCAGAUGAAUCCAGGGCAUCUGUAUACUGUUGUUGAGACAAUGUUGAGGCUGUGGAAAAGAAGUCAUGCAAAGUUGGAAAAGUGAAUAGAGCACACUUCCUACUGGGUUGAAGGUUUCCAGAAGAGCCCCAGAGUGAGCACCCACCAUCAUGGCAUGCCUCAGGGUCCUGGCCUGCCUGCACCCCACCAUGGCAUCCCAAUGCCUGUGCCUAUGCAGGGAGACCCAGGAUCUGAAGCAAGUCCUGCUUGUCAGCCAAUAUGACUCUCACCAGAGGCUGUGGGACACCAUGCACACCCACCUGGAACUGAUGCAGCAGUGGAUUGCUAUGGCAUGUGUCUUCGUGCCCAUGUGCCAGCAGUUGACCAUUCCAUAUAGGGCCACCCCGCACCCACCAAGCAUCCUGGACUAGGCAAUUGACUUCUAUGUGUCCUACAAGGAUGAGGCCAUGGUCACUAGGGUUCUCCAGACAGUUGAGCACUGGUACUGGGCCAAUGCCACUAGCAGUGACUGGUGAGAGUGGAUCGUCUUGGGCUCCUGGGAAGACAAACGGUAGGUCCAGACCUUCCAUGUGUGCUUGGCCAACUUCAUGGACAUCAUUGCCCAGGUGGCCCCAUACAUCUCAUGCCAGGAUGUUGGCAUGUGGCCACCUCUCAUUCCAGAGAAGUAGGUGGCCAUCGCUGUCAUGAAGUUGGCCACCCCCAGCAGUUACUAUUGCAUUGCCAUCCAGUUUGGCAUGGACAGGACCACAACCAGAGAGGCCAUCUGGGAGGUGUGCCUGGUCAUCCAGAAUGUCCUAGCCAAAUGCAUCAUCUGCCUUGUCAACCCACAGGUGGUGGUCUUCUGCUGCAUGGGCUUCCCCAACUGUGGGGGGGGCUAUGGACAGCACCCACACCCCCAUCCUCUGCCAGGUCCAGUUCACCCAGGCAUUCAUCCACCACAAGGGCUAAUUCUCCAUUGUCCUGCAGGGUGUUGUUUACCACUCAGGACACAUCUCUGGCUGGGCGGACAGCACCAAUGAUACUUACAUCUUCUACAACUCCCCAGUCUCCGGGUUGACAGAGAAGGGCUGCUAUGCUCCCAGGGUCCCAGAUUUUGUCUUUGGCAUCAUCACCCACCCUGUUAUCAUGAGGAAAAUGGUUUCCCCCCUCCUGCCCUGGAUAAUGAAGCCCUAUGGAGGGUAGUUGGAUCACUGGAAGAAGUACUUCAGCUACUGCCUGAGCAGAUGCCGCAUGACCGUAGAGUGCACCUUUGGGCACCUUAAGGUGCAAUGAUGGGCUCCCAGUGCACACUUUGAGGUGGACGAGGAAAACUUGCUGUGGCUCAUCACCAGUGCAUGUGUCCUCCACAACAUCUGUGAGACCAGGGAGAAAGCCUUCUGCUAAGGCUGAGCCAAGGAGGGACAGGACACAUACUAGUCAUGGCAGCAUGAGCAUAUGGGGCAGGGAUAGGAGAGAGGGGGAGCCCUCUGCUGAUGGCGGGGACACUAGCCCUGCACAAUGGCCAGCAAUCUGGAUCUGCAAAGCCCUGUCUAACUACCUGCUCACCCUCAAGGAUCAGGAGCCCUCCCUGGAUGAGUAGGGCUGGAGUGCUUUGAGUGCCCAUGCCCUGGCACUGGGCCAUGGGUCUCCUGCUCUGGGCUCCUCUGGCCCUGCAACCCAGGCAACAAUGCCAACAAGCCAGGCUGCUUGCACACCAUUCCUCUUUCCCACCCCCCAGGGACACACACCAGGGUACAGGGGAAGGCAACAUGAGGAAAAGACAUGCCUGAGUUUUUAAAAAAUGUUGCAGAUGCCAAACGUUUUGUGCAUUGAAUUAAA